UAAGGAAUAUUGGUCAAUGGACGCAAGUCUGAACCAGCCAUGCCGCGUGAAGGAUGAAGGUCCUCUGGAUUGUAAACUUCUUUUAUCUGGGACGAAAACGGGAUUUUUAUCUCAAUUGACGGUACCAGAGGAAUAAGCACCGGCUAACUCCGUGCCAGCAGCCGCGGUAAUACGGAGGGUGCGAGCGUUAUCCGGAUUUACUGGGUUUAAAGGGUGCGUAGGUGGGCUUAUAAGUCAGUGGUGAAAUCUCCGAGCUUAACUUGGAGACUGCCGUUGAUACUAUAGGUCUUGAAUUAUCUGGAGGUAAGCGGAAUAUGUCAUGUAGCGGUGAAAUGCUUAGAUAUGACAUAGAACACCAAUUGCGAAGGCAGCUUACUACAUAUAAAUUGACGCUGAGGCACGAAAGCGGGGGGAUCAAACA
rnacentral:rRNA from 1 species